rnacentral:misc_RNA from 1 species
AAGUCGUAACAAGGUUUCCGUAGGUGAACCUGCGGAAGGAUCAUUAACAAAUCGUGUGUUUGUGUGUGCAUUUUGUGCAUACAAAUAUAUAUGUGCGCCAGUAGGAUUUACUGGAAUGCAAAAUAUUCAUGAUAUAGUGUGCUAAUUUGUGAAUGUCUAAAUAUAAAAUACUUUUAACAAUGGAUCUCUUGGCUCUU